UUUCCGUAGGUGAACCUGCGGAUGGAUCAUUCAUAAUAAAGUGUUUUAUGGCACUUUUUAAAAAUCCAUAUCCACCUUGUGUGCAAUGUUAGGUCUCGUCAAUCUUGGCGAGAUUUUUAUACAUCAACUCAUUCUUUAACUAAUUUGUCUGAAAAAUAUUAUGAAUACUUAAUUCAAAAUACAACUUUCAACAACGGAUCUCUUGGCUCUC
rnacentral:misc_RNA from 1 species